UACUGUUUAUUUUAGCAGCCAUCCAAUCCAUGCCUACUUUUGCGAGAGAGGAAGUUAUCCUCCCUAAAUCUCAAAUGAAACAUUAAAAAGAAAGCAAGUCUUCUCUUACUGCUCCAAACAGGCACGCAGAAAAGCGGGAACCUGGUUUAAUGAUUUCUUUGAACAUGGUGACAUCCAUAACCCACAAUUUCCUUGUGGAGCUGAACUCCUCAAAUUCUUCUACAUGCAAACUUUGGCCACCAAUGUUCUAAAUAUCUAAAAGGAUCCUUUAGUAUGAUAUAUAUAACCCUGAGGGGAAUAGCUUCUUCAGAUCCCAACCAGAGAAUCCUCGUUAGUGCUGAGGAAGAAAAGGAAAGCAAGCAAAAAAGGAGCUGGAGAUAUGGCAGUAGAGAAAAGGAAAGGUCUUCUGGAGAAGAAAAAGGCUGUCAGUGGGGGAGCAGGAUGGGUUCCAGAUGUCAACUUGCGUUCUACUCAAUAUAUUUCUACAGCCAACCAGGAUUUAUAAUACUACUGUCAGCUAGCAUCUCAAUAUCACUCACAAUGCAGAUUUCUAUUUAAAAAUGUGUCUUACAAUUUUAGGGAGCCUUCCUGUUUUUAUCCUCCUGAUAUUCCUUUAUACCAGUAAAUUCUCAUAUA